CAAUGGCCUUGUUAGGGCAACAAUGACCUUUCCAUCCCAGGAGGAGGGCAGGAUCCAGAGGGGCGGGGCAGCGGCAGGGAGAUCGACAGCCCCGCACACCCACUGGGUGGAGAAGGGGGCCAGCCGGCUGCAGGAAUUCAGCCUCAGGCUGGGGGCUGUCACCAAGGGAGAAUUUACUCUCUUCGAAACAGACUGGGGACCCCUCCACCCCACCCCUUUCACUGUGCUUCUUAAAGGGAUCACACCGUUUUUCCUUUGACUCCAGGGAAGCCAGACUUGGGACACUCUAUGGAGACUUUGAAUCUUUCCCUCCUGCUUCCUUCCCAACUGGCAGCCUUCCUCUGGCUGGUUGAGUGGGGGCCUCCCAGGCAUGGCACUGACCAGCCGACCCAGUGCUGACUUGGCUCCUGGGCUCAUUCAGCCUCUGGUGGCAUCUUGCUUUCUCCCUCCUGGGGCACAGUGGUGAGUCAGGGGCGCCCAGCCCUGAGUGUGCUUGGAGCGUGUCGCUGGCACCCCCCAUCGCCCUCUCUCCCCCAAGCUGGAGGACGGUGAGGCUGUCAGGGGCUACGAUGAGAUGAGUGGGGGCCGCUUUGACUUUGAUGAUGGCGGGGCAUACUGUGGGGGCUGGGAGGGGGGAAAGGCCCACGGACAUGGACUGUGCACGGGCCCCAAGGGCCAGGGCGAAUACUCGGGCUCCUGGAACUUUGGCUUCGAAGUGGCGGGCGUCUACACCUGGCCCAGUGGGAACACCUUCGAGGGAUACUGGAGCCAGGGCAAACGGCAUGGGCUGGGCAUAGAGACCAAGGGGCGCUGGCUCUACAAGGGCGAGUGGACGCACGGCUUCAAGGGACGCUACGGAACUCGGCAGAGUGGCAGCAGUGGGGCCAAGUAUGAAGGCACUUGGAACAAUGGCCUGCAGGACGGCUAUGGCACCGAGACCUAUGCAGAUGGAGGGACCUACCAGGGCCAGUUCACCAACGGCAUGCGCCACGGCUACGGCGUGCGCCAGAGCGUGCCCUACGGGAUGGCCGUGGUGGUGCGCUCGCCGCUGCGCACGUCGCUCUCGUCCCUGCGCAGCGAGCACAGCAACGGCACGGUGGCCCCGGACUCGCCCGCCUCGCCCGCCCCCGACGGCCCCGCGCUGCCCCCCGCCGCCAUCCCGCGCGGCGGCUUCGCGCUCAGCCUGCUGGCCAACGCCGAGCCGGCGCGGGCGCCCAAGGGCGGCGGCCUCUUCCAGCGGGGCGCGCUGCUGGGCCGGCUGAGGCGCGCCGAGUCGCGCACGUCGCUGGGCAGCCAGCGCAGCCGCGUCAGCUUCCUCAAGAGCGACCUCAGCUCGGGCGCCAGCGACGCCGCGUCCACCGCCAGCCUGGGCGAGGGCGCCGAGGGCGCCGACGAGGCCGCGCCGUUCGAGGCCGACAUCGACGCCACCACCACCGAGACCUACAUGGGCGAGUGGAAGAACGACAAGCGCUCGGGCUUCGGCGUGAGCGAGCGCUCCAGCGGCCUGCGCUACGAGGGCGAGUGGCUGGACAACCUGCGCCACGGCUACGGCUGCACCACGCUGCCCGACGGCCACCGCGAGGAGGGCAAGUACCGCCACAACGUGCUGGUCAAGGGCACCAAGCGCCGCGUGCUGCCGCUCAAGAGCAACAAGGUCCGCCAGAAGGUGGAGCACAGCGUGGAGGGCGCCCAGCGCGCCGCCGCCAUCGCGCGCCAGAAGGCCGAGAUCGCCGCCUCCAGAGAGAGAGCGACAGCAGGAACACAAGCAGGGGGAGUGGGAGAGGGAGAAGCAGGCUUCCCACUGAGCGGGGAGCCCGAUGCGGGGCUCGAUCCCAGGACACUGGGAUCAUGACCUGAGCCGAAGGCAGACGCCUAACGACUGAGCCACCCAGGCGCCCCAAGAGACCAAAUAUUCUAACAAAAGAUGCUCCUAUUGCUCUUAUCAGGAAAUUCCAAGAGUUCCGGAAACCGCAAGACAGGAACCAAGGACGAAGGCCAAGUAUAUAAGAGACAUAUAUUUUGGUCAUCUGAAUGACUAAAUAUGUACAGUCGGCCCCUGAUUAACAUGUGUUUGAACUGCAUGGGUCCACUUAAAUACACGGAUUCUUUUCAAUAGAUACAGUAUAGUACUGUAAAUGUGUUUUCUUAUAACCUUUCCUUUUCUCUAGCUUACUUUAUUGUAAGAAUACAGUAUAUACACCUAUACAAAAUAGGUGUUGAUCAACUGUUUAUGUUAUGAGUAAGGCUUCCAAUCAACACAGGCUAUUAGUAGUUAAGUUUGUGGGGAAUCAGAGUUAUACUUGGAUUUUUGACUGUGAGGGGGGUUCUGAAGUUCUCUGCCAGCUCAUGCGGAAGAGGGCUCCCUGCUGGCGACUAGGCUCCAGGUGGGACUGCAGGGCAGUCCUGUGUGGGGAAGGGGUGUGAGGCCUGAGGUCCCCGCCCUGUCAUGGCAUUAGUCACCGAAGUGCAGCCAGACUUCAGUCAUAUGUAAUCAGCCGGGCAGUUCCCAGGCCCCGGCAGACUAGCCUUUCUUUGGGGAAGUAGGGUUAUCACUGCUCGUAACCACUAGCCCUGGGCCCUCUCAGACGGCAGGGCUCACACCGUCCCUGCGGGAAGAGGCUGGGUGGCAGCCACUGGGCCCUUCUGGAAAGUGGGCGUGAACUGAGGCAACACAGGGGACGCGUGGGUCAGCAAAGGCAUUGCUGCCAGAAGGCCCUGGUAGCAUGUUCCAGCUGGCUCUGGCACUCACCAGCUAUGAGCCUCGGGCAAAUGAUUUUCUGAGCCUGCGUUUCUUCCCCCGUAAAGUGAGUUGUCUUGAGGAUGACAUGAGAUCACACAAGUUGUCUUAGUUCCCAGUUGCUGCCAUAACAACCUUCCACAAAUGUGGGGCCUUAAGACAACACGGGUUUAUUCUUUUAUGCUUCUGGAGGUCAGAAGUCUGAAAUCAGUCUCCCCACACUAUAGCCAAGGUCAGCAGGGCUGGUUCCUUCUGGAGGCUCCAGGGGCUAAUCCCAUUCCCUGACUUUUUCAGUCUCUAGUAGCCGCCCCUGCCCCUCCUCUGUUUUCACAUCACACCUCACCAGACUCUUCUUCUGUCAUCUCCUCACCUUCUCCUCUCCCGCCAUCCCAUCUCCCUCUGCCUCCUCUUCUAAGGCCACGCAUGAUCACAUUUAGGGCCUCCCUGGAUAAUCCAGGAUAAUCCCCGCUUCUCAAGGUCCUUAAUCACAUCUGCAAAGCUCCUUUUGCCAUAUAAGGUCACAUUCACAGGUUCCAGGGAUUAGGACUGGGAUAUCUUUGGGAACAUUAUUCAGCCGACUGCAUAGGUCAAGUGUCUGGCACAUAAUUAGCACUCAGUAAACAGCAACUCUUACUACUUUGCCUCUGCCUUCUUGGCGGGGGAGGGGGGAGGUCUCGCACACCUGCUCACAUGUAGAGGAGACUUUCCAGCAGGCCUGGAGGCUCCCCUUUAAGAAGGGGAGAAAGGUCGCUAUAAAAAUGUGAUCUGGAAGAGGUCACCUCCAUGGCCUGGGGAUUUCAGGCUGGGUUUCCAAGGUGGGGAGGUUCUCUAGGGCCUGAGGAUGUGGCACAGCCCCCCCCCCCCUUCAACUAGAACAAAACCAUUUUAUCGAAAAUUUUCAAACUCUUGCAUAGAGCCUGCUAUAUGCUAUCCCUGUUCCAAAUGCUUUACUACAGUAAUUCACUCUAUAAUCCCAACCACCCAGUGAGGGCGGGGCUAUUCGUGUCCCCAUUUUACAGAUGGAAAAACUCAGUAAUAAAAAUACAAAAACCCAAUUUAAAAAAGACAAAGGAUCCAAAUAGACAUUUCUCCUCAAAAGAUAUACAGAUGGCCAUGAAGCCCAUGAAUCGAUGCUCAACAUCAUUAGCCAUCUGAGAAGUGCAAUUCAAAACCAUAUUGGGAUGGCACCUCACAAACCACUAGUAUGAAUAAAAUUUAAAAGAUGGGUCUAAUGGGGAAACAGGAGCCUUCAUAUGUUAUGGGGGGGAUGUCAAAUGGUGCAGGAACUUUGGACCCAGCCUGGCAGUUCCUCACCUGGGACAUGGAGUUACCAUAUGACCCAGAAAUUCUACUCUUAGGUGUGCACCCAAGAGAAAUGAAAACAUACAACCACACAAAAACUUGUGCACAAAUGUCCAUAGCAACCAAGCGGUGGGAACAACCCAAACGUCCCCCAGCUGAGGCACAGGUGAGCUCAGUCUGGUUUUUGCACAUGGUGGAAUAUGUCUGGCAGUAGGGAGGAAUGAAGGACGGACACGUGCUACCACAUGGGUGGACCUUGAGACAGGGUUCGGAUGACAUGUCCUUCUACAAGAACGCAUAUUUAUAUCCCAAUUUGUGGGCAGUCCAUAGAAUUCCGAAGGGAAUUGCUGGUCAGCAUUGUUAUAAUAGUAACAAAAACCAUGAUAAUGAAAGCUAAUAUUUGUUAAAUGCUCAUUUCAGACUCUCAGUAGCAUAGUGAAGUAUUAUUAUCCCCAUUUCACAGUUGAGGAAACUGAGACCAGGGAGGAGAUGUCAGAUACGUCGAAUGUGGUGGGACUCUUAUUUGGACUUGAGUGUCUGCCCUUAACCCCUCUGGGGAGGGGCUUCCCAGCAGGCGCUUAGCCCAGUUUGCCAAAUGAAGUCCUGUGGGGGGGUCAGGAGGAGGCUCCCCCAUCAGUCAGGACUCCCUGACUCUGCCCUUGCCUACAUGCUUGGGGGGUGGGGAGCUUUCUUCCAGGGAGCUCUCUGGGGGGGGGCAGUCUGAACACCCCAGCUGUGGUUCCUGCUCGUGAUUACUCUGACCAUGAUUGUUCUGGAGGAAAUGGCCAUGGCCAGCCAGAGCUGUGGGCGAGGGGCUAUUUUGGGAGAGGGCAGGGCAGUGGCAUCUGAAGCAUCCCCCACCGCAGGAAGACAUUUGGCAGCAUUGUCCCUGUCCGCCAUCUCUGUGGCCUCCAGAGAGGCUAGCAGAAGUUGGAGCUGGGGACUCUCAUUAUCCGCCUCUGUCCUCCACACACAGCAGGCUUUCUUGUUCUGAAGAUUUUUGUUUUCCUUUUAAAAAUGAAAAAAUCAUUUUAAUUUUUAUUUAACAAAUCAGUGACAUGUAGUCCAUCCAGGACUUUUAGUCUUCUCCAAAAAAGUGUGCUUAUUUAUUUUAUUAACAACCACUAUAUGCACUUCCUGUGUCCUGGCCCCCGCUCCAAGGGCCAGAUGACUGGUCAUUCAUUACAUCAUUUCUCCGAUAGGUGCUGUUAUUACCCUCAUGUUACAGAUGAGGAGAUCGGGGUUCAGGGAGCUCAGACUUGCCGAAGGGUGUAAGGGGCAGAGCUAGGACCCCACACCCAAGCUACCCAACUGGAGUUUCCCCCUCUUAGAUGCUCUACCAAGCAGUUUUGAGGCUUUGCUCUGUGCCGCUGUUCAUCACUGGUUUUCAGGGAUGUCCUGUGGUUGACUUGGCAGGGCUGCGUUAGGCUUUGAGUUCCUCGGGUGGCUGCUGGGUCCUAAUCAUCGCCAUCCCUGGUCCCAGCACAUGGAGGACUUGGCCCAGAGUCAGUGGGAGGAGCGUGACAGCUUGGUGUAAUGGGUAAGAGCUUGGGCCGAUUCACUUUUCUAGCUGUGUGACCUUGAAAAAGGGACUCCACUUCUCUGAGGUCAUUUGUGUUAAGGUGACACAGAGCUGGGCACAAAGAACUCAACAAAUAACAGAUUAAUAUUGUUUUAAUAGUAGUAGUAGAAGAGACAGUUAUUGAGUGAAUGCAUUAAAACAGAGGUCAGCAGGGGCGCCUGGGUGGCUCAGAUGGUUAAGCGUCUGCCUUCGGCUCAGGUCAUGAUCCCAGGGUCCUGGGAUCAAGCCCCACAUCAGGCUCCCACCUCAGCGAGGAGCCUGCUUCUCCCUCUGCCUCUCUCCCUGCUCAUGCUUUCUCUCUCUCUGUAUCUCUGUGUCUCAAAUGAGCAAAUAAAAUCUAAAAAAAGAAAAAAACGGGUCAGCAAACUGUUUCUGUAAAUGACCAGAUGGUAAAUAUUUUUGGCCUUGCAGGUCACACAGUCUAUGUGGCAACUACUUACUCUAGACAAUGUGUCAACAAAUGGGUGUGGCUGGGUUCCAAUAAAACUUUAUUUAUAUGGACACUGAAAUCUGAAUUUCAUGUAAUUUUCAUGUGUCAGAAGAUAUUACUCUUGUUUUUUUUUUCAUUCAACCCUUCAAAAAUAUAUAACCCAGGCUUAGCUCACGUGAUAGAGCAGGGAACAGUGGGCGAGAUGUGGCCUCCUGCUGCUGCAGUUCCCACCCCUGCACUAGAACGCAAGCUCUGCAAGGGGCUUUGGGAUGCUUGGUUUGCUCUGGUACCCACAGUACUCAGAACAGUGCCUAGCACACAGUAGGCUCUCCAGAAAGUUGUUAAAUGAAUGAAUCAAUAUGUAGAAGUGGGUCUUGAGCUGGCCCUUUAAGACUGGGAGGGUGGACGGAGGGGAAGGAGUGUUCCAGGUCCGGGAACAGCCCGAGUGAAGGCAUGGAGUCAGGGGGUCUGACUCCGGUCUGGACUGGAGCCUGAGAACCUGCAUUUCCGACGAGCUCCCUGGUGAUGAAGGGGCCAGGAGGGUGAUGGGCCACACUGUGUGGCCCUGGCCUAGGAGAGCCUCUGGGCAACAGCGGAGGGGGGGGGCCACCCUCACUGUGUGAGCUGCCCCAGGCUGCGCCCUGAAGGCCGCUGGUGAUACACCCAUCUGGACGGCCCAGCCCGAGGAUCCGGAGAGCCUGGAAGGCUGUGUUAAGUGCCCUGGGCUUGAUUUUGAGCGUGUUAGGAAGCCUUGCAAAGAUUUUAAGCAAGAGUUGAGGCCGCUGGACACCUAGACAAAGCCAGCCCCCGCCUACUGCGAUCAGUUGUAGGGAGCCUGUCGGGGGCUUGGAGGAGCAGUGACGGAAGGAGGGAGAGGCUGCAGAUGCUGGAGCUACAGCAGGAGUAGGAGAAGGGACCUGGACAAGCCACGCCAAGGCCAAAGCUGAGGCAGCGGAACAGGCCGCCCUCGCUGCCAACCAGGAGUCCAACAUUGCCCGCACUUUGGCCAGGGAGCUGGCUCCGGAUUUCUACCAGCCAG